GACGAACGCUGGCGGCGUGCCUAACACAUGCAAGUCGAGCGGUGAAGCAUGGUGCUUGCACCCAUUUGAAUAGCGGCGGACGGGUGAGUAACGCGUGGGUAAUCUGCCUUUGAGCGGGGGACAACAUCUGGAAACGAAUGCCAAUACCGCAUAAUACCUUUAAACAUAAGUUUCAAGUUUGAAAGGUGCAAUUGCCGAAUUCAAAGCUGAUCACGCGGUGUAUUAGCUAGUUGGUUGGGGAAACGCCCACCAAGGGGUGGAUACAUAGCCGAGCUGAAUGGGUGGUCGGCCACAUUGGGAAGGGGACAAGGCCCAAAACCCUACGGGGGGGAGCAGUAGGGAAACUUCGGAAAAGGAGGGAAGGCUGAACGAGGAACGCCGCGGGGGUGAAGGAGGUUGUCGGAUCGGAAAACUCGGUUUGUAGGGAAGGACGUGGAGGAGAGUAGAAAGCGCAUGUAGUGACGGUACCUACAGAAAAAGCAACGGCUAACUACGUG
rnacentral:rRNA from 1 species